rnacentral:lncRNA from 1 species
AGGUCUUUUUGGUGAGUUAUUUCUAAGUUUAUUUACUAUAAACAUUUUUUAUAAUUCUUCCAUUAUUCAGUGUGGAAGUUCAGAUAAUUAAAUCCUUUUGGGUUUGAGCCUGAGUACUAAUUUUUCCAAAGGUCUGGCCAGUUCAUCUGAUGUGGCUAAUAACUCUAUAAAGAAAUACUUGCUUUUUAUAAAAAUGGCUAUUAGAGAUAACAAAGCUCUUUAUAUGAAUAAUGGCAGAACAUCCUUUCAGGCAAACUGAAUAGAAAAGUAGAUUAAUAGAAAACAAAAUGAAGAUUCCUAAUCUAAAUUUCAAAAGUUGGCACACUUCUGCUAUUAAAAUCUAGGCAUUUAUUGAUGGAUAAGGAAGACUUGAACUAAGAGCUUAGCUUUAUUUUAGCAGCUUUCCCUAACUGAUGGAACUGAACCAACUGAUUGCUAAUGUCAGGCAUUACUUUCAAUGGCUCUGUAUGUAGGUGCUUUGUUUUAGCAGAUAAGAUACAAGCUAGACACGUUUUGGCUUCUUUAUAUAGACUUUCUGUCUCAGUGUAUGAAUGCAUUCUUAUAUAAGUGUGCUAUGAACAGAAUAAGAACCUAGAGUUUCUUCAGGAGUUACUGUAUCGAAAUAGAAAAGUCUAGGGGGAGAGGAGCUCUGCGUUUUUACACUAGAAUGCUAGAAAAAUACAGGAUAAGAAUUUGCUUUUAUAAAUUCUUAUUCUAGUUGAUGAGCUUUAGGUUUGAGUUAAACUUUUCAUGAUUUCCAGUCAUAGAAAUCCCAUGGGAUUAUUACAACCUUUCCUUAAAAGGGAAAAUUGUGGUUAUAGUAUGUUAAUUCUAUCUUUCCAUUCUACAAGUUGUGUCUGAGUACCUGUAGUGAAGAAUUCCCAAAGAGGGUAGGACUGAGGUUAUAAAUAGUUACUGAAUUUUAAAAGGAGAGCUGGAUGAUUGGUGAUGUUUGUUAUGGGCACAAGAAAGACAAAUGACAGACUAAACAUUUUCUGUAGUGCUUCUUGAACCAUAGAGAUUGUCCUUAUAAUAUACCUCAAAGCAAAUGAUCAAACCAAGUUCUUUUAUAAAUUCA